UACGGGAGGCAGCAGUGAGGGAUAUUGCACAAUGGGCGCAAGCCUGAUGCAGCAACACCGCGUGAAGGAUGACGGUUUUCGGAUUGUAAACUUCUGUUCUCAGUGAUGAUAAUGACAUUAGCUGAGGAGAAAGCCACGGCUAACUACGUGCCAGCAGCCGCGGUAAU
rnacentral:rRNA from 1 species